AUUGAACGCUGGCGGCAUGCUUUACACAUGCAAGUCGAACGGCAGCACGGGUGCUUGCACCUGGUGGCGAGUGGCGGACGGGUGAGUAAUACAUCGGAACGUGUCCUGAAGUGGGGGAUAACGCAUCGAAAGAUGUGCUAAUACCGCAUAUACUCUGAGGAGUAAAGUAGGGGAUCGAAAGACCUUAUGCUUUUGGAGCGGCCGAUGUCUGAUUAGCUAGUUGGUGGGGUAAUUGCCCACCAAGGCGACGAUCAGUAGUUGGUCUGAGAGGACGACCAGCCACACUGGGACUGAGACACGGCCCAGACUCCUACGGGAGGCAGCAGUGGGGAAUUUUGGGCAAUGGGCGCAAGCCUGAUCCAGCAAUGCCGCGUGAGUGAAGAAGGCCUUCGGGUUGUAAAGCUCUUUCAGUUGAGAAGAAAAGAUUGUAACUAAUAAUUACAGUUCAUGACGGUAUCAACAGAAGAAGCACCGGCUAACUACGUG
rnacentral:rRNA from 1 species